rfam:Moniliophthora roreri MCA 2997 sctg_0112_0001, whole genome shotgun sequence.
GGCCGCCUGGCGAAAUGGCAUCGCGUCUGACUACGAUUCGUAAGUAAUCAGGAGAUUGCAGGUUCGACCCCUGCGGUGGUCA